rnacentral:rRNA from 1 species
UACGGAGGGAGCUAGCGUUGUUCGGAAUUACUGGGCGUAAAGCGCGCGUAGGCGGCUUUGUAAGUCAGAGGUGAAAUCCCGGGGCUCAACCCCGGAACUGCCUUUGAGACUGCAUCGCUUGAAUCCAGGAGAGGUGAGUGGAAUUCCGAGUGUAGAGGUGAAAUUCGUAGAUAUUCGGAAGAACACCAGUGGCGAAGGCGGCUCACUGGACUGGUAUUGACGCUGAGGUGCGAAAGCGUGGGGAGCAAACAGG